rnacentral:rRNA from 1 species
CAGCCGCCGCGGUAAUGCGUAUGUCACAAGCGUUAUCCGGAUUUAUUGGGCGUAAAGCGCGUCUAGGUGGUUAUGUAAGUCUGAUGUGAAAAUGCAGGGCUCAACUCUGUAUUGCGUUGGAAACUGUGUAACUAGAGUACUGGAGAGGUAAGCAGAACUACAAGUGUAGAGGUGAAAUUCGUAGAUAUUUGUAGGAAUGCCGAUGGGGAAGCCAGCUUACUGGACAGAUACUGACGCUGAAGCGCGAAAGCGUGGGUAGCAAACAGGAUUAGAUACCCCCGUAGUCCCUGUCUCUUAUACA